GAUCCUGGCUCAGGACGAACGCUGGCGGCGUGCGUAACACAUGCAAGUCGAACGAGAGAGUGAGAGAAGCUUGCUUUUCUUACAAUCGAGUGGCAAACGGGUGAGUAACGCGUAAACAACCUGCCCCGCAGAUGGGGACAACAGCUGGAAACGGCUGCUAAUACCGAAUACGGUCCUCUUAGCGCAUGGUAAGAGGAAGAAAGGGUGGCCUCUGGAACAAGCUACCGCUGUGGGAGGGGUUUGCGU
rnacentral:rRNA from 1 species